GACGUAGGGGGCUAGCGUUGUUCGGAAUUACUGGGCGUAAAGCGCACGUAGGCGGACAUUUAAGUCAGGGGUGAAAUCCCGGAGCUCAACUCCGGAACUGCCUUUGAUACUGGGUGUCUUGAGUGUGGAAGAGGUGAGUGGAAUUCCGAGUGUAGAGGUGAAAUUCGUAGAUAUUCGGAGGAACACCAGUGGCGAAGGCGGCUCACUGGUCCAUUACUGACGCUGAGGUGGCGAAAGCGUGGGGAGCAAACAGG
rnacentral:rRNA from 1 species